UACGAAGGGGGCUAGCGUUGCUCGGAAUGACUGGGCGUAAAGGGCGCGUAGGCGGUGUGCACAGUUGGGCGUGAAAUUCCAGGGCUCAACCUGGGGGCUGCGUUUGAUACGUGUUCGCUUGAGUUCGGAAGAGGGUCGUGGAAUUCCCAGUGUAGAGGUGAAAUUCGUAGAUAUUGGGAGGAACACCGGUGGCGAAGGCGGCGACCUGG
rnacentral:rRNA from 1 species